rnacentral:rRNA from 1 species
GAUGAACGCUGGCGGCGUGCCUAAUACAUGCAAGUCGAGCGAACGGACGAGAAGCUUGCUUCUCUGAUGUUAGCGGCGGACGGGUGAGUAACACGUGGAUAACCUACCUAUAAGACUGGGAUAACUUCGGGAAACCGGAGCUAAUACCGGAUAAUAUUUUGAACCGCAUGGUUCAAAAGUAAAAGACGGUCUUGCUGUCACUUAUAGAUGGAUCCGCGCUGCAUUAGCUAGUUGGUAAGGUAACGGCUUACCAAGGCAACGAUGCAUAGCCGACCUGAGAGGGUGAUAGGCCACACUGGAACUGAGACACGGUCCAGACUCCUACGGGAGGCAGCAGUAGGGAAUCUUACGCAAUGGGCGAAAGCCUGACGGAGCAACGCCGCGUGAGUGAUGAAGGUCUUCGGAUCGUAAAACUCUGUUAUUAGGGAAGAACAUAUGUGUAAGUAACUGUGCACAUCUUGACGGUACCUAAUCAGAAAGCCACGGCUAACUACGUG